GCCGGGCGUGGUGGCGGGCGCCUGUAGUCCCAGCUACUCGGAGGCUGAGGCAGGAGAAUGGCGUGAACCCAGGAGGCGGAGCUUGCAGUGAGCCGAGAUCGCGCCACUGCACUCCAGCCUGGGUGACAAAGCCAGACUCCGUCUCAA
rnacentral:SRP_RNA from 1 species